rnacentral:tRNA from 1 species
GGGGAUGUAGCACAAUGGUAAAGCACUUGCCUAGCAUGCAUGAGGCUCUGGGUUGGACCCUUAGCAUUGCCA